rnacentral:lncRNA from 13 species
AUGGCAGCCACGGCACAUUACGUAUUUGCGCAAACCCACAGAACCUACAACACCAAGAGGGAACCGUCGUGUACACCACGGACUAAAGGAAAUGGUCGCCAGGACACUGAUGGCGGUGCUGUGUGCCACCCCCUGGAUGCCCUGCCCCAUGCUGGUGCUGCUCAGCUCCUUCCUGGCCUAGCCCUGGAUCCGCCUCUGCCAUGCCUGUGUCUACAGCCUGAUGUCACAGAAGUUCCAGGUGGCUUCUGCAGGCUGUGUAGGAGGCAGCAGAGGAGCCACAGAGGCACGUGGCUGGCCUCACCCACAGCAGCAGCAGCAGCAGUGUGGUCCACGAGACCCCCCACUGCGGGGCUUCCAGUGCCUGAGAAGAUGCAGACUGGUGGGGUGAGGUCUCAGGCCCUGCACAGACAGGCCCCGUCGUACCAGCAGGAGCCUGGCGCCGGUGUGCUCGAGGCCUCCCCGCCUCCCAGCCCUCGCCCUCCUCUUGCUGUCUCCACUCCUCUGGUUUGCCCCCAUGCUGGGUGCUGCAGGUGCCGGCUGUGUCCCCUAGUGGUGGCCAGGGCCAGGGGAGGGGUGGAAACCCCCUUACCAAUGUCUCUCCCCUUCCAGGUCCCCUGUGGCUUCCUUCCCAUGACUUAGGGCCUGAGGGCUCCUGGGCUCAUGUGGCUGGGGUUCAAGUCCAGAUCAGUUUGGGUAAUACUCUCCCCUCUCCUCGAAGUGGGGAGUCAGACACAGGAAGCAGCAGCUGGGAGGACCCGCAGCCUUCGUGGGGGUAAAACUAUGACCUUCCAUGUCUUCUUCUUCAAGACAGGGUCUCACUCUGUCACCCAGGCUGGAGGGCAGUGAUGGAACCAAGGCUCACUCACUGCAGCCUUGACCUCCUGGGCUCAAUCAGUCCUCCUGCCUUGGCCACCCAAAGGGCUGGGAGCACAGGUGCUGCCACCAUGCCCGGCCUUCAUUAUACUCCUAGUUGAAGCAUCUUUUUGGUGGAAGCAUCCUGAGGGGUGGGGAAACAAUGUGCUUCCAGUCCCUGGUAACGUUCCUCCCCCAGUCUGGCUGCAGGUGAGCAUCUGUGGGAACAGUCUUCCAAAGUGGACAGUGCCACCUUGUGCCCAUGGACUGGGCGCCCAGCCGUCACCAGCGGACGCUGCCCCGUCUUUGGCACGAGGCUGUCACCUAUCUGCCGCUCGUGUGUGGCUCUGCCUCCCUCCCCCUUGUACUCUCACCCUUUGACCACUUAACCAGAAACAGGAAGCCACUUCUGGGGUCCCCUCACCCCUGCUCAGUUCUCCUGGGCCCUGCUUUGCUGGCCUCUGACCUCUGUGGCCGUCCCUCCUCUGGGAUGUAUGUUAUGGCAGAUGGCAUUGAAGAUUCAGGGAACGAGGUGGCAGGAAGAGCCCUUGGCUGGGAGGCAGACAUCUGAUCUGGCCAGCCCUGACCCCACUCUCAGGACCACGGGCCUGUUUCUGAGAAGCGCAGGCCUCGCCCCGCUCAUCCUCCAUGAGCUCCCAAGGCUUCGACAAACCUCCUUUGGCAGGGAAGAGCCAAGUGUGUCAGAGCUGGGGCUGUGGGCUUCCAUGGCAGUGAGUCGGAGGUGGGCAGAGGGAUGGCGCGGGAAGCCUGGGCAGAAGCGCCAGAGCACUGUGGGGAGUGGACCUCGGUUUACCAUUCCAGGAACGCCUGGCACAGAGCACGAGAAUGGGGAGUGCGUGCAGCUGAGCAGGAGCCGCCCCAGGGAGGGAGUCCACCCAGGACUGCACUAGGAGGGCACCGGGUCGGUCCUCAUGCGGCGGGGCCUGGGGAUCCUUGUCUCCGGUAUUCCUGUGUAUGUCUGUUGGAAUGCUCAGAACCUUCCAAACAAAAUAAAUACGAACUUCCUCAAG